UGAGGAAUAUUGGUCAAUGGGCGAAAGCCUGAACCAGCCAUGUCGCGUGCAGGAAGACGGCCCUAUGGGUUGUAAACUGCUUUUGUAUGGGAAGAAACGACGGUACGAGUACUGUUUUGCCGGUACCAUACGAAUAAGGAUCGGCUAACUCCGUGCCAGCAGCCGCGGUAAUACGGAGGAUCCAAGCGUUAUCCGGAUUUAUUGGGUUUAAAGGGUGCGUAGGCGGGAGAUUAAGUCAGUGGUGAAAGUUUGCGGCUCAACCGUAAAAUUGCCAUUGAUACUGGUUUUCUUGAGUACAGUUGAGGUAGGCGGAAUGUGGUGUGUAGCGGUGAAAUGCUUAGAUAUACCACAGAACACCGAUUGCGAAGGCAGCUUACUAAGUUGUGACUGACGCUGAAGC
rnacentral:rRNA from 1 species